CCCUUAGAUGUCCUGGGCAGCACGCGCGCUACAAUGGAGUGAGCACCGGGCUAGGCAAGUGCGAAAGCAUGACCCAAUCCUGAAAGCGCUCCAAGACGGGGAUAAAGGCUUGCAAUUUUCCCUUUUGAACGAGGAAUACCUUGUAGGCGUGGGUCACUAACCCACACCGAAUACGUCCCUGCCCUUUGUACACACCGCCCGUCGCUCCUACCGAUUGAGUGGUCCGGUGAGGCCUCGGGAGGAUUGGAGGUCCGGUGAGAGCCGGGAAUCUGGUCCAAACUUGGACAAACCUUACUGCUUAGAGGAAGGAGAAGUCGUAACA
rnacentral:rRNA from 1 species